rnacentral:rRNA from 1 species
GAUGAACGCUGGCGGCGUGCCUAACACAUGCAAGUCGAACGGACCUUGCUUUUUUGGAGUACUUGUACAAAGAAAGAGCGCUGGUUAGUGGCGGACGGGUGAGUAACACGUGGGUAAUUAACCUUCUAGACUGGGAUAACAACGGGAAACUGGUGCUAAUACCGGAUAAGAUUCAUGAGCGGCAUCGCUUAUGGAUGAAAAGAGGCCUCUCCAUGGAAGCUCCUGCUAGAAGACAAGCCCGCGGCUGAUUAGCUAGUUGGUGAGGUAAUGGCUCACCAAGGCAACGAUCAGUAGCCGGCCUGAGAGGGUGAACGGCCACACUGGGACUGAGACACGGCCCAGACUCCUACGGGAGGCAGCAGUGGGGAAUAUUGCGCAAUGGGGGAAACCCUGACGCAGCAACGCCGCGUGAAUGAAGAAGGCCUUCGGGUUGUAAAGUUCUGUCAAUUGGGAAGAAACCUCUUGGGUCAAUAGCCUAAGAGAUGACGGUACCUAAGAAGGAAGCUCCGGCUAACUACGUGCCAGCCGCCGCAGUAA